rnacentral:rRNA from 1 species
UCGAAAGCUUGCUUUUGAUGGGCGUCGACCGGCGCACGGGUGAGUAACGCGUAUCCAACCUGCCCACCACUUGGGGAUAACCUUGCGAAAGUAAGACUAAUACCCAAUGAUAUCUCUAGAAGACAUCUGAAAGAGAUUAAAGAUUUAUCGGUGAUGGAUGGGGAUUGCGUCUGAUUAGCUAGUUGGAGGGGUAACGGCCCACCAAGGCGAUGAUCAGUAGCCGGUCUGAGAGGAAGGUCCCCACAAUGGAACUGAGACACGGUCCAUACUCC